AGUGAACGCUGGCGGUAGGCCUAACACAUGCAAGUCGAACGGCAGCACAGUAAGAGCUUGCUCUUACGGGUGGCGAGUGGCGGACGGGUGAGGAAUACAUCGGAAUCUACUUUUUCGUGGGGGAUAACGUAGGGAAACUUACACUAAUACCGCAUACGACCUACGGGUGAAAGCAGGGGAUCUUCGGACCUUGCGCGAUUGAAUGAGCCGAUGUCGGAUUAGCUAGUUGGCGGGGUAAAGGCCCACCAAGGCGACGAUCCGUAGCUGGUCUGAGAGGAUGAUCAGCAACACUGGAACUGAGACACGGUCCAGAAUCCUACGGGAGGCAGCAGAGGGGAAUAUUGGACAAUGGGCGCAAGCCUGAUCCAGCCAUACCGAGUGGGUGAAGAAGGCCUCCGGGUGGUAAAGCCUUUUUGUUGGGAAAGAAAAGCAGCAGGUUAAUACCCCGCUGUUCUGACGGUACCCAAAGAAUAAGCACCGGCUAACUUCGUG
rnacentral:rRNA from 1 species